GAUGAACGCUGGCGGCGUGCCUAAUACAUGCAAGUCGAGCGAACAGACGAGGAGCUUGCUCCUCUGACGUUAGCGGCGGACGGGUGAGUAACACGUGGAUAACCUACCUAUAAGACUGGGAUAACUUCGGGAAACCGGAGCUAAUACCGGAUAAUAUAUUGAACCGCAUGGUUCAAUAGUGAAAGACGGUUUUGCUGUCACUUAUAGAUGGAUCCGCGCCGCUUUAGCUAGUUGGUAAGGUAACGGCUUACCAAGGCAACGAUGCGUAGCCGACCUGAGAGGGUGAUCGGCCACACUGGAACUGAGACACGGUCCAGACUCCUACGGGAGGCAGCAGUAGGGAAUCUUCCGCAAUGGGCGAAAGCUUGACGGAGCAACGCCGCGUGAGUGAUGAAGGUCUUCGGAUCGUAAAACUCUGUUAUUAGGGAAGAACAAAUGUGUAAGUAACUAUGCACGUCUUGACGGUACCUAAUCAGAAAGCCACGGCUAACUACGUG
rnacentral:rRNA from 1 species